rnacentral:rRNA from 1 species
GAGGAGUUUGGAGUGUCCAGGAGAAGGAGAAGCGAAGAUAAGGAUACCGGGUGGUGGAAUGAUGAUGUCCAGAAGGCGAUUAAAGAGAAGAAAGAUUGCUUCAGAUGCCUAUACCUGGAUAGGAGUGCAGACAGCAUAGAGAAGUACAAGAUGGCGAAGAAGGCCGCAAAGCGAGCUGUUAGUGAAGCAAGGGGUCGGGCAUACGAGGACCUCUACCAACGGUUAGGCACGAAGGAAGGCGAAAGGGACAUCUAUAAGAUGGCCAAUAUCCGAGAGAGGAAGAUGAGGGAUAUUGGCCAAGUCAAAUGCAUCAAGGACAGAGUAGGCCAACUCUUGGUGAAGGACGAGGAGAUUAAGCAUAGAUGGCGGGAGUACUUCGAUAAGCUGUUCAGUGGGGAGAAUGAGAGUUCUACCAUUGAACCGGAUGACUCCUUUGAUGAGACCAGCAUGUGUUUUGUGCGGCGAAUCCAGGAGUCUGAGGUCAAGGAGGCUUUAAAAAGGAUGAAAGGAGGCAAGGCGAUGGGCCCUGAUUGUAUCCCCAUUGAGGUGUGGAAAGGUCUUGGGGACAUAGCGAUAGUAUGGCUAACCAAGCUUUUCAACCUCAUUUUUCGGGCAAACAAGAUGCCAGAAGAAUGGAGACGGAGUAUAUUAGUACCAAUCUUCAAGAACAAGGGGGAUGUUCAGAGUUGUACUAAUUACCGUGGAAUUAAGCUGAUGAGCCAUACAAUGAAGCUAUGGGAGGGGGUCAUUGAGCACCGCUUAAGAAGAAUGACAAGCGUGACCAAAAAUCAGUUUGGUUUCAUGCCCGGGAGG